rnacentral:rRNA from 1 species
CCCUUAGAUGUUCUGGGCUGCACGCGCGCUACACUGAUACUUUCAGCGAGUCCACCACCUUGCCUGGGAGGGUGGGGUAAUCUCUGGAAAGUGCAUCGUGAUGGGGAUCGAUUAUUGUAAUUAUUAAUCUUCAACGAGGAAUUCCUAGUAAACGCAAGUCAUCAACUUGCAUUGAUUACGUCCCUGCCCUUUGUACACACCGCCCGUCGCACCUACCGAUUGAAUGGUCCGGUGAAGCCUCCGGAUUGGCGCGCACCUCGGUGCCGCCGAGAAGUUGGCUAAACCUUACCAUUUAGAGGAAGGUGAAGUCGUAACA